rnacentral:rRNA from 1 species
GAUGAACGCUAGCUACAGGCUUAACACAUGCAUGUCGAGGGGCAGCAUGGACAUAGCUUGCUAUGUUUGAUGGCGACCGGCGCACGGGUGCGUAACACGUAUCCAAUCUGCCCGUUACUCGGGGAUAGCCUUCUGAAAGGAAGAUUAAUACCCGAUGGCAUGUAUUUCCGGCAUCGGAGAUACAUUAAAGAUUUAUCGGUAACGGAUGAGGAUGCGUACGAUUAGCUUGUUGGCGGGGUAACGGCCCACCAAGGCAACGAUCGUUAGGGGUUCUGAGAGGAAGGUCCCCCACACUGGAACUGAGACACGGUCCAGACUCCUACGGGAGGCAGCAGUGAGGAAUAUUGGUCAAUGGUCGGAAGACUGAACCAGCCAAGUAGCGUGAAGGAUGACUGCCCUACGGGUUGUAAACUUCUUUUGUUUGGGAAUAAAAGACGCUACGUGUAGCGUUCUGCAUGUACCUUACGAAUAAGCAUCGGCUAAUUCCGUGCCAGCAGCCGCAGUAAUAC